GACGUAGGUGGCGAACGUUAUCCGGAAUUAUUGGGCGUAAAGGGUGCGUAGGUGGCCUGACAAGUUAUUAGUGGUAAAUCGAGGCUCAACCUCGUGGAAACUGGUAAUACUGUCCGGCUCGAGUACAGGAGAGGUUAACGGAACUCUAUGUGGAGCGGUAAAAUGCACAGAUAUAUAGAAGAACAUCAAUAACGGCGAAGGCAGUUAACUAUUCGUGUUACUGACA
rnacentral:rRNA from 1 species